rnacentral:misc_RNA from 1 species
GAAAUGCGAUAAGUAAUGUGAAUUGCAGAAUUCAGUGAAUCAUCGAAUCUUUGAACGCACAUUGCGCCCUUUGGUAUUCCGAAGGGCAUGCCUAUUCGAGCGUCAUUAUCAACCCUCAAGCCUGGCUUGUUAUUGGGUCUAGAUCCCUUUUUUCGAAGAGGGAUCGGCCUGAAAGAUAAUGGCGGUGUCACUAAAUGACUCCUGGUGCAGCGAGCUUUUUUUAACUAGCAUACACUGGACAGUCUUUAAUGAAACCUCGCCUGAAAAUCUUUACAUUUUCUUCAAGGUUGACCUCGGAUUAGGUAGGAAUACCCGCUGAACUUAA